GACGAACGCUGGCGGCGUGCUUAACACAUGCAAGUCGAACGAUGAACUUGGAGCUUGCUCUGGGGGAUUAGUGGCGAACGGGUGAGUAACACGUGAGUAACCUGCCCUGGACUCUGGGAUAACUUCGAGAAAUCGGAGCUAAUACCGGAUAGGACCUUGCACCGCAUGGUGUGGGGUGGAAAGUUUUUCGGUUUGGGAUGGACUCGCGGCCUAUCAGCUUGUUGGUGGGGUAAUGGCUCACCAAGGCGUCGACGGGUAGCCGGCCUGGGAGGGUGACCGGCCACACUGGGACUGAGACACGGCCCAGACUCCUACGGGAGGCAGCAGUGGGGAAUAUUGCACAAUGGGCGCAAGCCUGAUGCAGCAACGCCGCGUGCGGGAUGACGGCCUUCGGGUUGUAAACCGCUUUUAGUAGGGAAGAAGCCUUCGGGUGACGGUACCUGCAGAAAAAGGACCGGCUAACUACGUGCCAGCCGCCGCAGUAAGAC
rnacentral:rRNA from 1 species